rnacentral:rRNA from 1 species
GAUGAACGCUGGCGGCGUGCCUAAUACAUGCAAGUCGAGCGAACAGACGAGGAGCUUGCUCCUCUGACGUUAGCGGCGGACGGGCGAGUAACACGUGGAUAACCUACCUAUAAGACUGGGAUAACUUCGGGAAACCGGAGCUAAUACCGGAUAAUAUAUUCAACCGCAUGGUUCAAUAGUGAAUGACGGUUUUGCUGUCACUUAUAGAUGGAUCCGCGCCGGAUUAGCUAGUUGGUAAGGUAACGGCUUACCAAGGCAACGAUGCGUAGCCGACCUGAGAGGAUGAUCGGCCACACUGGAACUGAGACACGGUCCAGACUCCUACGGGAGGCAGCAGUGGGGAAUCUUCGACAAUGGGCGAAAGCCUGACCCAGCCACGCCGCGUGAGUGAAGAAGGCCUUCGGGUUGUAAAGCCCUUUUAUUGGGAAAGAAAAACAGCGGAUGAAUCCCCGGAUGUUCUGACGGUACCCAAUGAAUAAGCACCGGCUAACUUCGUG